GCUGGGUGUGGUGGCUCACACCUGUCAUCCCAGCACUUCGGGAGGCUGAGGCGGGUGGAUCACCUGAGGUCAGGACUUUGAGACCAGCCUGGCCAACAUGGUGAAAACCCGUCUCUA
ensembl:misc_RNA Metazoa_SRP Metazoan signal recognition particle RNA